rnacentral:rRNA from 1 species
GCAAUAAAGCUAGCCCAAACACACCUACAAAAGACCCUGAUACCUAUACCAAACCAUUUAUCAAGACCAGUAUAUGCGAUAGAACCUCACCAAAACCGAAGCAAUAGCAAAAGUACCGCAAGGAAACGCUGAAAGAACAGUGAAACAAACAAGCAAUAACACAGCAAAGACUAACACUUGUACCUCUUGCAUCAUGAUUUAGCCAGAACAACACAGACAAAAAGAAUUAAGCCAGUAUCCCCGAAACCAGGUGAGCUACUACAAGGCAACUAUUAGGGUGAACCCGUCUCUGUGGCAAAAGAGUGGGAUGACCGAGCAGUAGAGGUGAAAAGCCUAACGAACCUGGUUAUAGCUGGUUGCUCAACAAGCGAAUUUUAGUUCGCCUUUAGGUUAUUACAAAACAUCAACUUAACACAACAAGCCUAAAAGAUAUUCAAUGGGGGUACAGCUCUAUUGAAACAGGAUACAACCAAUAUCUGAGAACCAACCAACCCUUUCAACCCCGUAGGCCCUUAAGCAGCCACCAUAAAAUCAAAGCGUCAAAGCACAAAACAUAAAAUACCAAAUAUUUUCAUGAACCCCAGAUCACACACCUUGAGCCACUCUAUAACAAUAGAUGAACUUAUGCUAAAACGAGUAACAAGAAAACUUCUCUCGGCACACCCGUGCCCCAGUAAUAGAAAACCUGCUGACAAUUAACAGACCAAAACAGGCACAACAACCAAAACAACUGUUAUACCAACACUGUCACACCAACACAGGGGUGCUAUAAAGAAAGAUAAAAAGCCCUAAAAGGAACUCAGCAAAACUUGUCUCAACUGUUUACCAAAAACAUAGCCUUUAGCAAUAUAAGUAUUAAAGGUCCUGCCUGCCCAGUGAAACCCCUUCUUUUCAACGGCCGCGGUAUUCUAACCGUGCAAAGGUAGCGUAAUCACUUGUCUCCUAAAUAGAGACUAGUAUGAACGGCUAAAUGAAGACAAGCCUGUCUCUUGGGGCCUAUCAGUGAAACUGAUCUUCCAGUCCAAAAGCUGGAAUAUAAACACAAGACGAGAAGACCCUGUGGAGCUUUAAAUUUACUACCAAUAAACAUCCUGGUAUAAGAUUUUAAGUUGGGGCGACUUCGGAACAAAACAGAACUUCCGAGCACAGAACUACCACUUCUAUCUUAGGCGGACACGCCAAAGAACUAAGUUAGACCCAGUCAAACUGAUCAACGAACCAAGUUACCCCAGGGAUAACAGCGCCAUCUUCUUCAAGAGUCCCUAUCGACAAGAAGGUUUACGACCUCGAUGUUGGAUCAGGACACCCAAAUGGUGCAGCCGCUAUUAAAGGUUCGUUUGUUCAACGAUUAACAGUCCUACGUGAUCUGAGUUCAGACCGGAGCAAUCCAGGUCGGUUUCUAUCUAUGUCGCACCUUUCCUCAGUACGAAAGGACAAGGAAAGGGGGACCUAUGUCAACAACACGUCCUACGCCAACACAACUGAACGCAACUUAAGUCACACGUGCAGCACGUACUUAGGCCAUAGACAACGGCUU